rnacentral:rRNA from 1 species
AUACGUAGGUGACAAGCGUUAUCCGGAUUUACUGGGCGUAAAGGGCGUGUAGGCGGUCUUGCAAGUCAGAAGUGAAAUUCCUGAGCUCAACUCGGGCGCUGCUUCUGACACUGCAGGACUUGAGUGCUGGAGGGGAUAGCGGAAUUCCUAGUGGAGCGGUAAAAUGCGCAGAUAUUAGGAAGAACACCGGUGGCGAAGGCGGCUAUCUGGACAGUAACUGACGCUGAGGCUCGAAAGCGUGGGGAGCAAACAGGAUUAGAUACCCUGGUAGUCCACGCUGUAAACGAUGAUUACUAGGUGUGGGGGGACUGACCCCUUCCGUGCCGCAGUUAACACAAUAAGUAAUCCACCUGGGGAGUACGGCCGCAAGGUUGAAACUCAAAUGAAUUGGCGGGG